UUUCCGUAGGUGAACCUGCGGAAGGAUCAUUAAAGAGAUCAUGCCCUCACGGGUAGACCUCCCACCCUUUGUUUACAAUACCUUUGUUGCUUUGGCGGGCCCGUUUGGCCCCGCGCUGAACAACCGGCCCCGGCUGGUCAGUGCCCGCCAGAGAACCGAAAACUCUGAAUUAAAUGUCGUCUGAGUACUAUGUAAUAGUUAAAACUUUCAACAACGGAUCUCUUGGUUCUG
rnacentral:misc_RNA from 1 species